rnacentral:rRNA from 1 species
AUACGUAGGGGGCGAGCGUUGUCCGGAAUGAUUGGGCGUAAAGGGCGCGUAGGCGGCCCGGUAAGUCUGGAGUGAAAGUCCUGUUUUUAAGAUGGGAAUUGCUUUGGAUACUGUCGGGCUUGAGUGCAGGAGAGGUAAGGGGAAUUCCCAGUGUAGCGGUGAAAUGCGUAGAGAUUGGGAGGAACACCAGUGGCGAAGGCGACUUACUGGACUGUAACUGACGCUGAGGCGCGAAAGUGUGGGGAGCAAACAGGAUUAGAUACCCUGGUAGUCCACACUGUAAACGAUGAAUGCUAGGUGUAGGGGGUAUCGACCCCUUCUGUGCCGCAGUCAACACAAUAAGCAUUCCGCCUGGGGAGUACGGCCGCAAGGUUGAAACUCAAAUGAAUUGGCGGGG